rnacentral:rRNA from 1 species
AGGACGAACGCUGGCGGCGUGCUUAACACAUGCAAGUCGAGCGGAAAGGCCCUUCGGGGUACUCGAGCGGCGAACGGGUGAGUAACACGUGAGUAACCUGCCCCUAGCUCUGGGAUAGCUCCGGGAAACCGGGAUUAAUACCAGAUACGACCACUUUAGACAUCUGUCGUGGUGGAAAGGAUUCCGGCUAGGGAUGGGCUCGCGGCCUAUCAGCUUGUUGGUGGGGUAACGGCCUACCAAGGCGACGACGGGUAGCCGGCCUGAGAGGGCGACCGGCCACACUGGGACUGAGACACGGCCCAGACUCCUACGGGAGGCAGCAGUGGGAUAUUGCGCAAUGGGCGAAAGCCUGACGCAGCGACGCCGCGUGGGGGAUGAAGGCCUUCGGGUUGUAAACCCCUUUCAGCAGGGACGAAGCGAAAGUGACGGUACCUGCAGAAGAAGCGCCGGCUAACUACGUGCCAGCAGCCGC